UACGUAGGGUGCGAGCGUUGUCCGGAAUUAUUGGGCGUAAAGAGCUCAUAGGCGGUGUGUCACGUCGGCCGUGAAAACCUGCAGCUUAACUGUGGGCGUGCGGUCGAUACGGGCAUCACUGGAGUUCGGCAGGGGAGACUGGAAUUCCUGGUGUAGCGGUGAAAUGCGCAGAUAUCAGGAGGAACACCGGUGGCGAAGGCGGGUCUCUGGGCCGAUACUGACGCUGAGGAGCGAAAGCGUGGGGAGCGAACAGG
rnacentral:rRNA from 1 species